rnacentral:rRNA from 1 species
UACGUAGGGUGCGAGCGUUGUCCGGAAUCAUUGGGCGUAAAGGGCGUGUAGGCGGUUUGUUAAGUCAUGUGUGAAAUCCCCCGGCUCAACCGAGGAACGACGCAUGAAACUGGCAAGCUAGAGUACCGAAGAGGGGGGUGGAAUUCCCGGUGUAGCGGUGAAAUGCGCAGAUAUCAGGAGGAACACCGAUGGCGAAGGCAGGUCUCUGGGCAUUAACUGACGCUGAGGAGCGAAAGCAUGGGGAGCGAACAGG